rnacentral:rRNA from 1 species
AUUGAACGCUGGCGGCGUGCCUUACACAUGCAAGUCGAACGGUAGCGGGCCUUCGGGUGCCGACGAGUGGCGAACGGGUGAGUAAUGUAUCGGAACGUACCUUUCAGUGGGGGAUAACGUAGCGAAAGUUGCGCUAAUACCGCAUAUUCUGUGAGCAGGAAAGCAGGGGAUCGCAAGACCUUGCGCUGAUUGAGCGGCCGAUAUCAGAUUAGCUAGUUGGUGAGGUAAAGGCUCACCAAGGCGACGAUCUGUAGCGGGUCUGAGAGGAUGAUCCGCCACACUGGGACUGAGACACGGCCCAGACUCCUACGGGAGGCAGCAGUGGGGAAUUUUGGACAAUGGGCGCAAGCCUGAUCCAGCCAUGCCGCGUGCGGGAAGAAGGCCUUCGGGUUGUAAACCGCUUUUGUCAGGGAAGAAAUCUUCUGGGUUAAUACCUCGGGAGGAUGACGGUACCUGGAGAAUAAGCACCGGCUAACUACGUGCCAGCAGCCGCCGUAAGAC